rnacentral:rRNA from 1 species
CUUGAGAGAGGGAGCCCUGAGAUGGACUCUGAGACAUGAGUCCAGGCCCUGCGGGGCGCAGCAGUCGCGAAAACUUCACAAUGGGGGAAACCCCGAUGAGGGAAUUCCAAGUGUCAGCACAUUGUGUUGACUGUUCCCGUGUCUAAAAAACACGAGAAGUAAGGGCCGGGUAAGACGGGUGCCAGCCGCCGCGGUAAUACCCGCGGCCCGAGUGGUGGUCGAUAUUAUUGAGCCUAAAACGUUCGUAGCCGGUCUUGUAAAUCCUUGGGUAAAUCGGCCAGCUUAACUGUCUGAAGUCCGGGGAGACUGCAAGACUUGGGAUCGGGAGAGGUCAGAGGUACUUCUGGGGUAGGGGUAAAAUCCUGUAAUCCUAGAAGGACCACCGGUGGCGAAGGCGUCUGACUAGAACGAAUUCGACGGUGAGGAACGAAGCCCUGGGGCGCAAACGGGAUUAGAUACCCCGGUAGUCCAGGGUGUAAACGCUGCGGGCUUGGUGUUGGGGGUCCUUAGUGGGCGCCCAGUGCCGGAGAGAAGUUGUUAAGCCUGCUGCUUGGGGAGUACGUCCGCAAGGAUGAAACUUAAAGGAAUUGGCGGGGGAGCACCGCAACGGGAGGAGCGUGCGGUUCAAUUGGAUUCAACGCCGGACAACUCACCAGGAGCGACUGUUACAUGAAGGCCAGGCUGAUGACCUUGCCAGAUUUUCAGAGAGGUGGUGCAUGGCCAUCGUCAGUUCGUACCGUAAGGCGUUCUCUCAAGUGAGAUAACGAACGAGACCCUCGCCGCUAAUUGCUAAGGCUAUCUCAGGAUAGUCUGCACACUAACGGGACCGCUGUCGCUAAGACAGAGGAAAGGGGAGGUCAACGGUAGGUCCGUAUGCCCCGAAUCUCCUGGGCUACACGCGCGCUACAAAGAACGGGACAUGGGCUCCGACAUCGAAAGG